rnacentral:rRNA from 1 species
CCCAGGCCUUGUACACACCGCCCGUCACAUCAUUGAAAGCCGCUUGCACCCGAAGUCGCCCCUCAAAAGGUGCCGAAGGUAUGGGUGGUGAUUGGGAUG